rnacentral:misc_RNA from 1 species
AAAAAAAAAUAAAUAAAAAAAUAAGAGCCCACACACAACAGUUUGCCAAUCCUCAGCCAUUGGUGGUGUUAUAUGAGAUUUUAAGUAUCACUGCCAAUGGAAUGUUGAUAACAUGACCCUGAUUUCCCAAAAGUCCAAUCCUUCCAAAGCUGGCAGUAGAGCUGUUCAUAGUUGCAUUGAAGAUUAUAUUCAAGACCUGUUUCUCUCCACUGGCAAUGGAGAAGUGAGUUGGAACCACCUUCACAGACACCCCAUAUGGUGCACUCCAACUGGCACUGUACGUCUCAUUACCAGCAAUGUUAAUCACUGUUCUUUGAACUGUUCUACA